AGCAGUAGCCACGGGAAUACGAAGGGUGCAAGCGUUAAUCGGAAUUACUGGGCGUAAAGCGUGCGUAGGCGGUGAGUUAAGUCUGCUGUGAAAUCCCCGGGCUCAACCUGGGAAUGGCAGUGGAUACUGGCUCGCUAGAGUGUGUCAGAGGAUGGUGGAAUUCCCGGUGUAGCGGUGAAAUGCGUAGAAAUCGGGAGGAACAUCAGUGGCGAAGGCGGCCAUCUGGGACAACACUGACGCUGAGGCACGAAAGCGUGGGGAGCAAACAGGAUUAGAUGCCCCCGUAGUCCCUGUCUCUUAUAC
rnacentral:rRNA from 1 species